rnacentral:rRNA from 1 species
UACGUAGGGUGCGAGCGUUGUCCGGAAUUACUGGGCGUAAAGAGCUCGUAGGUGGUUUGUCACGUCGUCUGUGAAAUCCCGGGGCUUAACUUCGGGCGUGCAGGCGAUACGGGCAUAACUUGAGUGUUGUAGGGGAGACUGGAAUUCCUGGUGUAGCGGUGGAAUGCGCAGAUAUCAGGAAGAACACCGAUGGCGAAGGCAGGUCUCUGGGCAAUAACUGACGCUGAGGA